rnacentral:RNase_P_RNA from 1 species
GAGGAAAGUCCGGGCUCAAGUUAGGAGAUAGUAUAGCUGUAUAAAUAACAGUAUAGGUGACUAUAAGGAAAGUGCCACAGAAAAAAACCGCCUAAUUUACUAUAAUAUAGGUAAGGGUGCAAAGGUACAGUAAGAGCGUACCAGAAGUAUAAUAAAAAUACUUGCUAGGCAAACCCCAUAUAAGAGCAAAGUAAUAAACUUUAUAUUUAAAAUAUCUAUUAUGAAAAAAUUAAUUGUAAUUUACGGUUUAUUAUCAGUACUGCAAAAAGUUUAUAUGUAAAUAUAAAAAAAAGAUUAAUAACUACCCUUAAUAAAUUUAAUUUUCACAUAAAGUAUAUAAAUCUUAAAAUUAUUAAGAACAAAAUCCGGCUUAUGAUUUACUUUAGAUCUAUAAAAUAUAAAUUAACAUGAUCUAUAUUU